rnacentral:tRNA from 1 species
CCUGGUGGCUCAGAUGGUAAAGAACCUGCUUGUAAUGCAGGAGACCUGGGUUCGACCCCUGGGUCAGGA